UAUAAAAAAUUUCAUCCAAUUAUACUGGUAAUAACUAAUAUGGCUAAUGGAAUAAUCAGAUAGUAACACGUGACAUGCCACAUGUACUUCACGCUAGCAUACAAAGACCAGUUUUUAAAGGUAGAAAUGAAUGAAAAUUUUAACA
rfam:Gossypium raimondii Chr03_contig_8, whole genome shotgun sequence.